UUUCAUAAGAAUAGCGAAUUACUACGUGGCGGUGUAGGUGGAAGAGGAGAGGUAGCCAACACUGUUUUUUAUAUAUAUUUUUUUUAUUUUAAUUGGGGUAACCCCCAAAAUAUUGGGACAUAUAAAAAAAAGAAACAUUUGCAGCCUGUGAUGCAUUUCUUGCAGUCCUGAUGCAUGGAGAAAUGCUCAACUCCUGGUGCAUGGAGAAAAGGGGGAAUCAGGCAAGAAGGCGACGACGCAUUCGUAUGUCAAUCCAUAUCAACUUUCGAUGCCACUGACUGCGCCUACCAUGGUGACCAUGGGUAACGGGGAAUCAGGGUUCCAUUCAGUACAGGGACCCUGAGAAAUGGCUACCACAUGCAAGAAAGGCAGCAGGCGCGCAAAUGACCCACUCCCGACGUGGGAAAGUAGUGACGACAAAUAACAAUACAAGACUCUUUAGAGGCCCUGUAAUUGUAAUGAGUCCACUUGAAAUCCUUUAAGUCUGAUCAAUUGGAGGGAAGUCUGGUGCAGAGCCACUGACCCGUGCGUGCUGCAGCUGAAACUCCACU